CUACGUGCCAGCAGCCGCGGUAAUACGGAGGGUGCGAGCGUUAAUCGGAAUAACUGGGCGUAAAGGGCACGCAGGCGGUGACUUAAGUGAGGUGUGAAAGCCCCGGGCUUAACCUGGGAAUUGCAUUUCAUACUGGGUCGCUAGAGUACUUUAGGGAGGGGUAGAAUUCCACGUGUAGCGGUGAAAUGCGUAGAGAUGUGGAGGAAUACCGAAGGCGAAGGCAGCCCCUUGGGAAUAUACUGACGCUCAUGUGCGAAAGCGUGGGGAGCAAACAGGAUUAGAUACCCUGGUAGUCCACGCUGUAAACGAUGUCGAUUUGGGGGUUGAACUUUAAGUUUGGCGCCCGUAGCUAACGUGAUAAAUCGACCGCCUGGGGAGUACGGCCGCAAGGUUAAAACUCAAAUGAAUUGACGGGGGCCCGCACAAGCGGUGGAGCAUGUGGUUUAAUUCGAUGCAACGCGAAGAACCUUACCUACUCUUGACAUCCAGAGAACAUUC
rnacentral:rRNA from 1 species